ensembl:lncRNA
CUGUCUCUUUCCAAAAUUAUUUCCUCUUGCUUCCAUCUUUGUAUCAUUCCCCACCUCGUUUUUCAGAAUCCUUUCCUUCUGCCUAUAAACAUGUUCGACUCUCCUGUAACCUCAUAAAAACUCUUCUCUUGAUCCUAUUUCAUCCUGAAGCUACUUUCUCUUCCUGUCACUAAAAACUUCUUGCAAAAGUACUCAGCUCUGCUAAUUCCAGAUUGUCUCAUCAGCUUAUUUAUUGCAGAUGUCCCCACCACCACUUCUAGGACAGUGCUUAAGAGCCACAAGCUCCUAUUGAGAAGUGGCAUUAAAAGACAACUAAAGAAUUUCCUGUCACGUUACCUGGCAACAAUAUGUCUCAGCUCUUGAUAUUUAUUAGCCGAUCCACUCCUUGCCCUGGGACCCUGCCCAUGUGUUCCCUGUCUAUAGCUCUUGAUCAUCUGUUGAUAUCUUGAAUCUAGCCUUUGGUGGCUGCACAUACCUAGUUCCCAACCCUCCCAUGAUAAACCCUCCACGAUGCAUCUGGGAGGUCCUAUUUGGCUACAAGGAUUUCCAGACUUCAGUCUCUUAAUCCAAGGAACACCCAUUCCUGGUAUUCCUCAUGUUUGAGAAAUCCCACUUAUGUUGUGUACCCUUCAUUGACUACACAACUGCAAAACAAAAUGCCUUUUCCCGAUUCUUCCAUCUAAUAGUUCAGUUGAGUGCUGUCUCCUCCUUGAGAACGUCUCAUUUCUUAGUCCACAUACUACCAACCUUCAUGCUCCGAACUCUAGGCAGCCUCUCUCUCAGUCCCCUUCAACAAAUCCUUAUAGUCUUCCUUCUCCUUAAACGAUAAGACCUAUACAAGAUCAAUAAGCCAUCUUGUUCUCUCUCUGUACAAUCUCUUCAAUCAAUAUCCCUUCUAUGGGUGGAUUGCCAACUCAAUAUCAAAAACUGUCACAUCUCUCUUUUCCUUCCUUAGCUUUUUUGGGUUUUUUGUUUGUUUGUUUUGUUUUGUUUUUGCUGCCCUUGGCAGCAUGUGGAAGUUCCUGGGCCAGGGAUUGAACUCAUGCCACAGCAGUGACCUGAGCCUCUAUGGCUUCAGACUUAAGUUUCCAGGUUCUCACAAGUCCAACUGUUUCUCCUGACCUUACCAUACACAUUAAAAGACUAUAUUCCCAGACUCCAAAGGUCAUUAACACUUUUGACUCCUAAUUUUUGCUGAGCUCCUGUAUUCAAUCGGUACCUGGGUACUGUGGAUUUUAUUUCUAGACCAUCCCUGGCAUCUAUUCAAUAUUGCCCAGUCCUGCUACAGUUGUCAUAAGCUUUCAUCACAUUAAUUUUAACAGCUUGUAAUUAAUUUCUUUGCAGUUUCUUCUCAUCAAACAUACCAUUUUUAAAUCUGCCUUUUUAAAAUUCAAUUGCAAUCAAGUCAUCCAUCUGUUUAAAAAUGUUAAAUGAUAAUGAUGAGACGAUUCAUCAUUGCCUACAGUUUUUAGAACCAAUUCCCCACAACCCGGCCAUCUUCGGUAUACUCACUCUCCACUUCUUCGGGAGGCCUACAGAAGCAUUUCCCGACUCAACGUCUCCCUCAACAUUUAUAAGGGGCUUUGCUCAUGUCUUUUAUUCUGCCUUCCAAAACUUUUUCUCAGUAUCUCAGACUCUUUUUUAAAUGUUGCCUGUUAUGAUUUCAAGGCUAAGGCAGGACAUAUUUAAGGUAUGCCAAGUUGUUUUGUUAAGAAAGUAAGGAAGCCAUGGAGUUCCCUUCAUGGCUCAGUGGUUAACCCACCCACUUAGGAUCCAUGAGGAUCCCUGGCCUCGCUCAGCUGGGUAAGGAUCUGGCAUUGCCAUGAGCUGGGAUGUAGGUCGCAGACACAGCUCAGACCCCACGUUGCUGUGGCUGUGGCGUAGGCCAGUAGCUGCAGCUCCAGUUCCACCCCUAGCCUGGGAACCUCACAUGCUGCAGGUGUGGCCCUAAAAAGCUGAGACCUAUGCCACAACUGCAGCAACACCAGGUCCUUAACCCACUGCACCACAGCAGGAACUCCCAUAAGCUAUACUUUUAGAUGUCAAGACUUCAUUUCAAAUUUAUGUAAAUGUCCUUGAGUGAUAAAUGGGCCAUUCUUUGAUACCAAGAAUUCUAGAAAGAAUCAACACCUUAGAAGACCAAAAAAUUUUAAGUAUUCUUUUUUAUUUUCACUAUUUUAAAGUUAAUUUUAUUCAAUGUACAAUGUAUAUGAAAAUUUAUGUAUUAUUAUUUUGUCUAUUACCUCAAGUGCUUUGGCAAGUAAUGUUACUGUAAAAAAGGAGAAUAGCCUAUUAGUAACCUGUUAGAUUAUAACCAUCAAUAUCAAUUUUAUUGCUGCCCAGUAAAGUUGGUUAUGGGUUAACUAUAUGUAACAAACCACUAUUGACAAUUAUAAAUAAUGUACCAAUAACAGAAAAACAAAAUAAUUUUAAAUAUUUCAAGAAACUAAGCAUCUUCCAUCUGGCCUACUAUUGGAAAAAUAAUAAAUGAAAAGUUAUCUGAUUAUUUUCUUUCCAUUACUAUCCCAAGAAAAAUUAUAAAGCAUUUCCAGCACUUCACUUUUCCUUGAUUCUAUUUACCCAAAUAUAAAAUAAACUCCCCUUCCUGACACCUGUUUCGGAUGCCUUUGUUGUGUCAUUACCAGAGUUGCUUUAAGUAAUUAAAGAAAUACAUCUGAAAAUCUCAAAUAACAGAACAAUAAAUUUAUGCCUGAACUCCAGUAGCAAAGUGAAGUGGGAAUGUCGGUAAAAGACUGGAUUAGUCACUGUUCAAAAGACAAUUUAAUCUCCAUGAUAAGAAUAAUCCAUAUCAGCACUGUCCAUAAAACAUUCAGUGAUGAAGAAAAUGCUCCUUACACCUGCACUGCCCAAUACGAAAGUCACUAGAUGUGUGGGACUAGUGCCACUUGGUAAGUAGUUAAAAUGGCCAAAGAACUUAAUUUUUAUUCUAUUUAAACUUAAUUAAUUAAAUUGUCCCAUGUGACUAAUUACAAUAUAGACAGUACAAAUCUAAAUAACUGCUUCCGCCCUUGACUUCUAAUUAUUAAUUAGUGUGAACAUUUUCAGUAACAAAUGCACACAAGCAAAAAGCACAAAUAGACCAUUCACAAUGGAAAACAUAACUACUAAUAAUUAUUGACUCUCCAUAUGUGCUAAACACUAUCCUAGGGUCUUUUCAAAUGUUAUCUGAUGUAACACUUGGAAGAUCCACAUGACAUAGACGCCAUAUAUACUUAGAUUUUGCAAAGCAGGAAGAAAACCACAGAGAAGUUAAGCAACUUCCUCAAAAAUACCAUCAUAUAUACUUAGAUUUUGCAAAGCAGGAAGAAAACCACAGAGAAGUUAAGUAACUUCCUCAAAAAUACCAUCUAGUAUUGGCAGUCAGGAUUUGAACUCAAGUGGUCUGAUGCCACAGCUGAUGAAACUGUAAUUUUACUACACUUGUCAGUGUAAAACCACCUACCUUGGUUAGUAAUCAAAGAGUCAUAGCGAAUUAAAAUAAAGAAGGUUAUAAAUUGUCACUCAUUAAAUUAGCAAACACUUAAAAGGUUAAAGAGCCCAAUAAAUAACCUUAUUAUUAUUGCAGGUAGAAGAAUGAAAUGGCCAAGUAAUCUAAUUUGGCAAUAAGAACUAAGAAUAACAAUAAUAACUUUUACCAGUUUCCCAUUUCUGGGAAUUUAUUCUACAGUAAAGAAAUUUCAUAUAUACUUAAAAUACACACAGAUAUUCAUAGGCUGCCAUUAUUUCACCAAUAGGCGAAAGUUGAUAUAAUAUAGGUUUAAAUUAAUAGCUUAAUGAUUGACUAUGAUACCUAGUAGAAUAUUAAACACCUAAUUAAACUGUUUAAGUGAUAACAUGGAAAAUUUUAUGAUGUAAACUCCUAUGUUAGGUAAAAAUUAGAAAAUAAAAUCUAUUAAUAUGGUAUAAGACAACUUUAAGAAGAAAUUAUGACAGACAAAAUUAUGAUAACUGAGUUGUAGAAUAAGAGACAAAGUGUUUUUCCUCUAUUUUCCAAAUUUUGGCCACAGACAUGGGAUUUGAGGAGAGUAACUUAUUUAGGUUGAAGCUAUCAGUGAAAAAUAUCACACCUGUUACUCAAGUGCAACCAACCAGAGGAUUUUUUAAAACACAGAAUCCCAGGUCCCACCCAGGAAUUAUUGAAUCAGCAUAACAAGACCCCAGGUGACUUUUAUGCACAUUAAAGUUUGAGAAGCACAGAUAAAACAUGCUACAGGUAAUGAACAUUUGCUGCUUCUUGGAAAUCUAUCCUCCAGGCUAUAAUAACUCACCAAGGAUUGAAGUCAACCCCCCUCAAUUAUCAAGGACCUAUUUCCAUAUAGGACAUCUUUAUAAACAAGGAGUAAUCCUGCCGCCAUUACGGUAUAUGCAAAUGACUCACUAAAUAUUCCGUCUUUUAGAAUCUUGACAUUUUGAACACCAAAUGUCUCCUCCAGUCCACUUCAGCGCUUCACUCCAAUAGUCUGACCCUAGACCUAGGAUCAGUAAACUGGAGCUAUAAACUCUUCACUAGCAUUAGGCAUCCAUCCUCUUUAAUUCAUUUUGCCAAGAAUUGCCAUGGAAUUCUUCCUGAAAUGCUGCAAUAUUUUACCACGCUUACUCUCUGUUCAACUAUUCACUAUUACCUUUCCAACAUCUACCCAGUUGUUGGAGAAUUUUUGUUCAAUUACUCCUUUCUCCUACCUAGCAACCCUUGGAGCAUGAGAGAAUGUCUUAUCAUCUCUCUAAAGAAAUACUUAGGUCAGUUCCCAUCUCAAAGCAGGCACUCAGUAAAUGUUUGAAGAAGGGCACAGUCAUAUUUUUUUCCCACUUUCAAGAAUCUUUACACUUGGCCAUCUGCACUCAGUACAAAUUCCCUCAUUUUGCAAAUAAGGAAGCUGAUGCCCAGGACUUAGAAAUGGAAUGUGUAACAAAAGUAGGGGGAAAAAAAAAAAACCCUCAGGCUUUCUGCCUCUAAAAUCACAAUUUUUCAUUUCAGUAGAUUUUUUUUUUUUUUCAGUUUACCAUUGUGCCUAAAUCUCAAGCCCUAUCAACCUGCUCACAUCUGCGACCUACACCACAGCUCAAGGCAACGCCACAUCCUUAACCCACUGAUCGAGGCCAGGGAUCAAACCCACGUCCUCAUGGUUCCUAGUCAGAUUCAUUUCCACUGCGCCACAGCAGGAACUCCUAUAGAGAAGAUCUUAAGUGUUCUUACCCCCUCUGCAAAAAAAGGUAACAGCAUGAGCUGAUGGAUAAAUCCACUAGCUUGAUUGUAGUGAUCAUCCUAUUAUGUACAAAGACGUCAAACCAUCAAGAUGUACACUUUAAAUACCUACAAUUUCUAUUUGUCAAUUAUUUCCAAUAAAGCUGAAAAAAAAAAUCACAAGUUCUCUGUAUAAUUUCAGCUUGGACAGCCAUAUGAUGGGUUCUCUAAUGCAGGGAAAGUAAGGAAUGCCUCUGCUUGGUUUUUGAUAUAUGUUUGUUCUAUCUCCUUCUCAACUAGAUUGUGAACUACUUGAGAAUGGUAUCCUGCUGUAAUUUUUUUUAACUGAGGUAAAAUUCACAUAACAUAAAAUUCACCAUUUUAACCAUUUUAAAGUGUACAAGCAUCUCCGGCUUAUUGGUCAUUUGUAUCUCUUUGGAGAAAUGCCUAUUCAAGCUCUUCCUCCAUUUUUAAAUUGAGUUGUUUAUCUUCUUGUUGUUGCGUUGUAAAAGUUCUUUACAUAUUCUGGAUGAUACUCUUAACAGAUAUAUGAUUUACAAAUAUUUUCUGCCACCUUAUUGGUUGUCUUUUCACUUUCUUAGGAGUACCAUUUGAUGCAGAAGAGUUUUUAAUGUUGACAAAGUCCAAUUUAUAUAUUUUUUAUUUUGUUGCUUGUGCUUUUUGGUGUUAUAGCUAAGAAUAUGCCAUGUGCAAGGUAAUACAUUUGUACCCUUAUGUUUUCUCCUAAGAGCUUGAUAUUUUUAGCUGUUAUAUUUAGGUUAUGGAUCUAUUUAGAGUUAAUUUUUGUAUAAUGUGUGAGAUAAGGGUCUAAUUCAUUUUAUAGCAUAUGGCUAUCCAGUUAUCCCAGAACCAUUUGUUGAGGUGACCACUGUUUUUCCCCACUGAAUGGUCUUGACUUCCAUAUCACAAAUCAAGUGGCCAUAGAUAUAUGGGUUUAUUUCUGAACUCUCAAUUCUAUUUUAUUGAUCUAUAUAUCCUUAAGCUGCUAUCAUGCUGUUUUUAUUACUGAGUUUGUACUGAGGUUUGAAAUUGUGAAAUGUGAAUCCUUCAACUUUGUUUUUUUCAAGAUUGUUUUGGCUAUUCAGGGUUCCUUGCAAUUCCACAUGAGUAUGUCUCUAUACUAACAUAUUUGGGAAUUUGAUAGAUAUUAUAUUGAAUGUAUAGCCCAAUUGGGAAAAUAUUGCCAUCUUAACUAAAUUAACUCUUCCAAUGCAUUAACACAGGAUAUGCUUCCAUCUAUUCAGCUCUUUAAAAACUUCCUUUGGUACUAUUCUGUAAUUUUCAGUGUGAGAAUUGUGCACUUCUUUGGUUUAAUUUACUCCUUUUUGAUACUUUGUAAGUGGAAAUGUUAAUUUUAUUUUUGGAUUGCUCAUUGCUAGUGCAGAGAAAUACAGUUUUUGUAUUUUGACCUUGUAUCUGCAGAUUUUCUAAAUUCAUUGAUUAACUCUAACAGUUUGGGAAUUUGGUGGGGGAGUGGAUUCCUUGGAUUUUCUCACAGAUCAUACUAUCUGUGAGUUGAGAUAAUUUUACUUCUUCCUUCCCAGUUUACCUUCUAUUUCUUUUUCUUGCCUAAUUGCUUUGGCUAGAACUUCCAGUAUAAUGUUGAAUAGAAGUGGCCAGAGUGGAUAUCUUUGUCCUGUUCUUGAUCUUGAGGGUAAAGCUUUCCUUCACUCUUUACCCACUAAGUGUGAUAUUAUAUGGCUGUGGGUCUUUUAUAAAUGGUCUUUAUCAUGUUUAGGAAGUUCCCUUAUAUUCCUAGGGUGUUAAGUGUUUUUAUCAUAAAAGGUGCUGGAUUUUGUCAGAUGCUUUCUCUGUAUCAAUUGAGAUGAUUAUGGGAAAAUUUUUCCUUCAUUCUCUUAAUGUGGUGCAUUAAUUGAUGUUUGUAUGUUGAAGUGCCCGUGUAUUCCUGGGAUGAAUCCCACUCGAUCAUGUAUUAUAAUCCUUUUAAUGUCCUGUUGAAGUCGGUUUCUAGUAUUUUGUCAGGGAUAUCUGCACCUCUAUUUAUAAGGCAUAUCAGUCUGUAGUUUUCUUGUGAUUUCUUUGUCUGGCUUUAGUAUCAAAGUUAUGAUGGCUUCAUAGAAUGAGUUAAGAAGUGAAACUUAUUCUGUUUUUUCAGAAGAGUUUGAGAAUUCUAUCAAAUGUUAAUUCUUUAAACAUUUGAUAGAAUUCAAAAAUGGUAUAUUUUUCAGUUUGCGUGUUUGUUUGGGUGUGCAUGUGUGUACCCUCAUUGUACUUAGAAGCAUAUUUGACGUAGAAAAGGAGAUAUUUAAAGAUGUAGAUGAAUUUCAAGCCAAGAAAGAAAAAAUCAUUAAAAAAAAAAAGGUAAGUAAGUCAACUUGAGUAUACACACCUUUUAGGAAAUGUGUUCAUUGUGUGAAUAUGUUCAUCGAAUGUCAUCUCAGC